rnacentral:lncRNA from 1 species
ACGUUACUCAGCCCUUCACUUUCUCUUGUGCUCACCACAAGAGAAGCCGGUGCUUUGUCUCAGCACACGCACGCUCUUCUGCUGAAGAAGGUCUGGUAUUAUAGAGGCCCACCUGCCAGUGGGUGGAGGUAAGGGAGCGUUAUCCCAGGGCUAAGCCGCAGCUUCGUGUGCACCGAUGAGUACCUUCAGCGUACCGCAGGGCCUGUCUGCUCUCUUUAGGUCUUUUCCUUCAGAGUGGACUUGGAGCUCUUUUUCAUGCAUCAUUGGUUAGUUCUCUGCUGUACUGAAGCACUACUAUGGAUGGAUACCUUUCUUUGAAUUUCCAUAUCUGAAGUUAUAAACUUGAUUGUUGAGACAGUGCCUUUAAGAUGUCAGCUGGUGCAAGUAGGUUUAAAUUGCCUUUGGCUACAGUGAAAUAAAGCUGGCUUUCCCACCCUCUGUGUACUUAGGAAGCUAUCUGUGAAGUCUGCUGUCCUUGGUUUUUGAUCCUGCCACUAGAUGGCAGGGAUAAUAAAAGAUGAAAUACUAGUGUUAGCGCCUGCUUGAUAGGUGCUGCUCUCUAGCUCUGCUAGUACAAUUUGGGGUGCAUAUGAAGUCUCUCAACUAGACAACCUACCUAACUCUGUAAGAACCACUGUAAAACAUGAGUGGAGUUAAUGACAAGGUAAAGGAGAAAGAAUGGAAAGCUGUUUUUCAUCUUUGAGGUAAUCAUUGGUGUUUUAAAACAGAUCUAUUGUUUUGUUUUGUUUUGUUUUGUUUUUUUUGAGAAAGGGUGUCUCUAUGUAGCCCUGGCUGUCCUGGAACUCACUUUGUAGACCAGGCUGGCCUCGAACUCAGAAAUCCGCCUGCUUCUGCCUCCCGAGUGCUGGGAUUAAAGGCAUGCGCCACCAACCUCCACCCGGCUAAAACAGAUUUAUUAUUAUUAUUAUUAUUAUUAUUAUUAUUAUUAUUAUUGUUGUUGUUGUUGUUUGGUUGGUUGCAUGAUGUGUAUGGGAGGGUUCACAUGCCACAGUGCAUGUAUCAAGGUUAUGGGACAACUUUGUAGAGUCUGUUCUCUCUUUUCGCAUUUACAUGUGAGUGGAUGUAGCAUUUUGGAGCUGGAACUCAGGUUGCCAGUUUUUUUUUUUGUUUUUUUUUUUUUUGUUUUUUUUUUUUUUUGUCGAAAUUGAUGCCAGUUGCUGAGUGUCUCUCAGCUGACCAUCCGGGUUCUGACCUGCCUUUCUGCAUGCACCUUGUUGAAUUUGACUUCUUUUUUUUUUUCUCUUGUGUUAGGCUUCCUUUAGCAUCUGUAACUGGUCAUCCUUUCAGGGUUCCUAUUUGCUUUCCUAUUGAAUACCUGUUUUAACAUCAACAUUUUAAAUGGUUACAUAUGCAAAAUCCUAGAACAAUCUGUAUAAAAUGUAGAACUUGAGAGUAUCUAUGGAAGUCUUGCCAAGUAAAGAGCUUGUUGAUAGCCUUGAAGAACAGGAUAAUGAGAAACUAAAGGGCAGCAUAUGAUGAUGUGAUGUUAUAGAAGACUUUGCCUUGGCUGGAGCUUGUAGCUACAGAGUGCCCGGCACUCAUGAACCCUGGGUGUAAUCCCCAGCAGCACAUAAAUGAGGUGAAGUUGGCGCAUGCCUGUAAUCUAGCUCUUGGGAGGAAGAGACAGAAAGAAGUUCAAGGUCAUCCUCCGCUACAUAGUUUGAGGCUAACCUAGGUAGGAUAUAUGAGAUUUUUGUCUCAAUAGAAAAAGAAGACUUCUUGGUCUUCUAUGCAGGCUUUCACCAGAUAGUCCUCGCCGGCAUUAGAAUAAACCGACAUAUUGACAAGUACAGGUGACUUCUGUGAUGUUUCAGUCAAGAGUUAAGUCGUCAUGACUCUCAGACCUAUCACCCCAAGCAAAUCUCAGUUCUGCCAGUAGCCUAAGUGAGUUUAACUUGGAAGAGGGUUGUUUCCCAGUGGAUUCCCCCAAAGGAGAGCCCAGCCCCACAUGCACUCUAAGCCAAGGACCUACACUGAACUCAGCUGGGAUUGUGACCCACGAAAGAAUUUGGUAGCAAGGCACUAACCUAAGCCCGUGCAACUUGCUACACAAAGGUAGAGAACAAAUAGAAAUGCCCUUCAUAGCCCUUGUUUCUUCUCAUCUUGCUACUGCCUAACAUCUAAUCAAGGAAUAGUUCAUGAGUCCCUCGUCUGUACCAGACUCUGGAUAUAAUCUUGAAGUCAGCAGGAUUCUAGUCUAGUAGGGAAGAUAGACUUAAACCAAGAAUGACAGAUGCUGUGAAAGGCGUGCGCUGUGAUGAGAGUGUAGAAGAUUUCAGUCAUGUUCCUGUCUCACAGACUUGCCCUUGCUUUCAUUAGCAUUAUGAAAUGCUAUGUACGGUUUUUUAGCCUUCAUACAUGCUUUCCUCCUUUUAGAACAUUUCUGUUUUUCUGCUUGGUAAUUAGCUCAGGUUUAAGAAAAUGCCAAUUGUAGAGGCCUUCUGUGAGCCCUGUUGAUAGCUGGGUUUGUGAGAGUUAGACUGUGCCAGUGCCAGAGCACCGUGUAAGGUAAGCUCCUAAGGACAGACAGGACCUGGCAAGGAGGCUCUGGAACUCCUGCACACUGCUGGUGAGAGGGCCGGCCAAUGGUAACUCCUGUGGGAAACCCUUAAUGUUUUCUGAAUACAGGCUUAUAGCCUAGAAGUGGAGGGAGAAAGUACUUACUAAUUCCUGUCCAGAGACAGGAAAUAUAAUCUUUAAGGCUCGGUCCUGUAUGAGAAUGCUUAAUCCAUCAGGCUAUGCUAUGUCUCAUUGUUCUCAACUGGGAACAUCCCCACAGCCCAUCAGUAACAGUAACUGUGGAUAGCAGUCGUAAGACAAAUUCGCUUAGAAGUGAAAGGGGGCACACCACUGCUGCAUGGGUGAAUCUCAGAAACACCCUAACACUGUUAUGUCACUCUUACAUAAGGGUAGCACCAUCCUCUUUAUCAAAAGAAAGCGGAGAAUGAACAAAUGAGUGUAUGUGGUGAAAGAAGUCACUGUUUAAAAAGGGAGUUGACUGGAAAGGUAUGUGUGGGAACUUUCUGGGCUAGCACUGUUAGCUCAUUGCAUGAAACAUGAAAAUAGGUAUGUAUCAGUGCGUAAAAUUUUACUCCAUUUUUUUAAAAUGUGUAGUAUGUACUUGUUUGUGUAGGUGGGUAUGCAUGUUCGCUCAGCCAUAGUUCCUUUGUUCCUUUAUAUAUUUACUCAUUUAUUUUUUGACUGUCUCACUGGACUGAAGCACAGUGGUUGACUGGUCACAGGUCUGGGACCCUUUCUCCAACUCAGUUCUGAAGUUAUCAGCGCUGACUGAGCAAUCUUCUCAGCCCUUACUUCAGAUUUCCAAAA